GAUGAACGCUGGCGGCGUGCCUAAUACAUGCAAGUCGAGCGAACGGACGAGAAGCUUGCUUCUCUGAUGUUAGCGGCGGACGGGUGAGUAACACGUGGAUAACCUACCUAUAAGACUGGGAUAACUUCGGGAAACCGGAGCUAAUACCGGAUAAUAUUUUGAACCGCAUGGUUCAAAAGUGAAAGACGGUCUUGCUGUCACUUAUAGAUGGAUCCGCGCUGCAUUAGCUAGUUGGUAAGGUAACGGCUUACCAAGGCAACGAUGCAUAGCCGACCUGAGAGGAUGAUCAGCCACACUGGAACUGAGACACGGUCCAGACUCCUACGGGAGGCAGCAGUGGGGAAUCUUCCGCAAUGGGCGAAAGCCUGACGGAGCAACGCCGCGUGAGUGAUGAAGGUCUUCGGAUCGUAAAACUCUGUUAUUAGGGAAGAACAUAUGUGUAAGUAACUGUGCACAUCUUGACGGUACCUAAUCAGAAAGCAACGGCUAACUACGUG
rnacentral:rRNA from 1 species